AGCGUAAUCAGUGGUUUUCGCUAAGAGCGGGCUCCCGCACAGAGAUGGAAGCUACGCGAAAACCCGACGACAGGGACCAAGAUUAGCUACGACCUGCCGUUUUCGCCGAGUGCCUGUUCUGAGUCACCCGUGGUGAAAUGGCACCCAACCGAUGCCAUCUGGAAGCGUUUAGAGUGAUGGAGGAUUCGCGAACUCCAUCCAUCUCUCAGGACAACUUGGUAUAAAAAUAGCCGACUGAAUUCGUUUGAGUGGCACGACGUAUUGCACCAAGCAGCUGGGCCACCGCCUCGGACUUGAGGAAGCGGAACACGCCCGCUGUCCGGUCCUCCCACUUGAUCAGCCCGGGGUGCCUGUCGGGGUUCAGGAGGAUGUCCCGGAUGAACUCCCACAGAACUGCUGCUGACUGGAUUUUUGGGGGUUAUUCGCAUCACUCUCUGCAAACUCUGUUGUGGGUGAAAAUCCCAGGAGAUCAGCAGUUCCUGAGAUAUUCAAAUCACCCUGUCUGGCACCAACAAUCAUUUCACG